rnacentral:rRNA from 1 species
UACGAACUGUGCAAACGUUAUUCGGAAUCACUGGGCUUAAAGGGUGCGUAGGCGGCUAUUUAAGUAGGGUGUGAAAGCCCCCGGCUCAACCGGGGAAUUGCGUCCUAAACUGGAUAGCUCGAGUGAGAUAGAGGUGUGCGGAACUUCCGGUGGAGCGGUGAAAUGUGUUGAUAUCGGAAGGAACGCCGGUGGCGAAAGCGGCACACUGGGUCUCGAACUGACGCUGAGGCACGAAAGCCAGGGGAGCGAACGGG